rnacentral:rRNA from 1 species
GACGACGCUGGCGGCGUGGAUUAGGCAUGCAAGUCGAACGGUAUCAUCCUUUCGGGGGUGAGAGAGUGGCGAACUGGUGAGUAACACGUAGGUUAUCUACCCUCGAGACGGGGAAACCCAGGGAAACUUGGGCUAAUACCGGAUGUGAGCAACUUUUAGUCGUUUGAAAGGUGGCGUAAGCUGUCGCUUGGGGAUGAGCCUGCGUCCUAUUAGUUAGUUGGUGAGGUAACGGCUCACCUAGGCAAUGAUAGGUAGGCGGCCUUAACGGGUGGUCGCCCACACUGGGAUUGAGAUACGGCCCAGACUCCUACGGGAGGCAGCAGUCGAGAAUAGUCUACAAUGGUCGGAAGACUGAUAGUGCGACGCCGCGUGAACGAUGAAUCCCUUCGGGGUGUAAAGUUCUUUUAUAUGUGAGCAGUGCUUCUUAUAUUAACAGUAUGGGGAGAGAGAUAUUAGCAUAUGAAUAAGCAACGGCUAACUCCGUG